CUUUGUUUCUGUUUUUUAGAGAGAGAAAGCUAAUGUUUUGGAAGGAGAGACAACAAUUUUCAUGUUGUUCACCUAGACACCAAGAACACACGCACAAGUGUGUGAGAGAGAAACAGGUGAAAAGAUGUUUUGUGUUCAAGAUGAAGAUGGUUAUCAAGAAGCGAAACCCGCCGAAUGAUUACAACGCAUCAUCAGGUUUUCGUGGUGACGAUGGUGUGUUUUUUGGUUGGCUGCUAUGUGUUAUGAAGAUGGAUGUAGUUGUGAAGACCAUUUUUAGAAGCAUUACAACUAUUGAUAUAAAAUUCAUUUUUAUUUUCA